rnacentral:rRNA from 1 species
UGUCUUCUAAAUAAAGACCCGUAUGAAUGGCUAAAUGAAUAUUUAACUGUCUCCUUUAACCAAUCAGUGAAACUGAUUUUCCAGUACAAAAGCUGGAAUAAACACAUAAGACGAGAAGACCCUGUGGAGCUUUAAAUUUUACCCAAAAUAUAUCUACCAACCUUACUUAUGUUAAUCAAUUUUAAGUUGGGGCGACUUCGGAGAAAAAUAAAACCUCCAAGCAUAAGUUAUACCUAAACAAGGCCAACUAGCCAAAACUAACAUUGACCCAGUACAACUGAUCAACGAACCAAGUUACCCCAGGGAUAACAGCGCCAUCUUCUUCAAGAGUUCAUAUCGACAAGAAGGUUUACGACCUCGAUGUUGGAUCAGGACACCCAAAUGGUGCAAGCGCUAUUAAAGGUUCGUUUGUUCAACGAUUAAUAGU